UACGCUACUUGAAUUUCGCUACGCUACGAGCGAUAUAAACAUGAACGAAGCCGAUUUCAAUGAAAUCUUUUUCACGCUAAUGGAGGCCUCGGGUGUAUUUCUCGUUUCACAAGCGGCUCAUAACCUAUCAGUAGUGCGUAUAGUGUAAAUCGGACUCGAAAACCGUGAAGAAGAGCUUCAAGCUAAAUCUCGAACACGAAACGAACUCUCAUUAAGAUGAAAAUUACGCUUCCUUGAUGCAAAACUUCGCGAGUGGCUGGAUAGUCUGACAGGUAGAGCAGCAAUAACCGCAGAAACGACGAUACCAACGUUCUCGAAUACUCCCAAGGGUUAACAAUGUCUUUAAUGACGUAACAUAAUUACGAGGAAGCUUUCCCUCACGAUGUACGUCACCGGCAAACGCGGGAGCUUAAUUGUAAAGCCUGGAAGAUCGAGGCUAAGCGGCUAAACGAGCACGAUCGUCCUUGACGAAGGACUCUGAGAAUGCAACGUAGAAAGAUCGCCUACGAAUUAGUUGGAAGGAAGAAGCCCAAAGGACCGAAGAGCCCCUGAUAUGAAACUCGACGAUAGAAAAUGAAGAUAUACUUCCCUUUUGCUAUGGCCGCAAAAAUCUUCACGAGAGAUUUAUGUGCAGACGCUAAGAAAGAAACUUCAUCGUUCCGAGGGAAAAACGAAUGCGAUAUUUGCACGUAAAUAUCUGUGAAAUUUACGUGUAGUCGACUGUGCCUGACGAAAGUUUCGUGAAAUCAAACUUUUUCGAUGGAAUUUUGCAUCCGUUUAUUUAUUUAUUUAUUUUUUUUUUUUUUUUAAUCUUUUUCUAUUUCCUUUUUCGACAAUAUCAUCAGACUACGGAUGUAUAUGCACUUAAAAUAUGUUGAAAUAUGCAAAUAACAUAUUGAAAUAUGAAAAUAUAAUAUGUGAACAUAUGCAUAAAUAUAACAAUAUAUAUAUGCAAAAAUUUGAGAAAUAUUAUGAAUAUUUUGA